AAGGAGUGAGUCAAAGGAAGGAUACCACAAGCCCUUUCGAACACAUGCAGGAGAGCCAUGCAAAAGAUGGAAAAAAAGAGACUUUGGUUUGAUUAAAUGCAGGUGCUAUGAACAUGGAGCAGAAGAAAAGACUUUAUUAAGCUCAGGGGUUAUUUAAAAGUUUAUGAGACUAUGAAAAAUACCAGCUAUUUUCCAAUUAAAAGAAAACCACCCCCAACAAAAAAGGAUCCUAGAAGAUGUGAAAGAGCAAGAGGCACAUCUACAGUGUACAGUGCAGUCUGAUGCAAAGAAACUUGAAGAAAAGCUGCUCUGAGCUAAUUUCUGGGCCAGAAAUCCAAGACAAAUCUGGGAUCCAGGACCCACCAGGAUCAGCUCUUACUGAAAUAGAAUGCCAGUGUUCAUUAUUAACUGAGAAUCACCAUCUCACAUCUGCUUUGGUGAGCAGAGAGAGGUGCCUAGUUCUUGCUGAUGAAGAAUGUCACCUCUAGGACAUCAUUGAAGAGCACAAGCAGGACACUCAGCAUCUUCUGGAUUUUGACCUCUUCAGUCCAAGAGCUCCAGAAAAAUGUUAUUUGUGUGAGUCUGAUGAACUCUUAGGAGUUACAAGAAACGUAUUUCUCUACAAGUCUAUGUG